rnacentral:lncRNA from 1 species
UCCGGGUGAAGUCUUCAAAACUGUGCAGAUAUUCUCAGACUUCGUGAUCAGGUUCUGUGGCCCCAUGCACGCGGCUGCAGCCACAGAAGAACCUGCGGCUACAGAAGAAGCUGCAGCCGCAGAAGAACGGGCCGAUUCGGAUGAAGUUAAGGAAGAGAGGGAAAUCACCGAUUGACAGGUGCAGGUCUCAGGCUUGAUCAGUAGUUUCAUUUGAGACCUAUUAUGAGAGUUCUUUGUCUUGCUCUCCCCGGUUUCUGAUCUCAUAGCGAGUUAAUGAU